UUGUGUCUGUCGGGAUUAUCUCUUGUAUCUCCUGUUGUGGUUGUGUUUGUUUAUCUUUUAUUUGAUGGGUAAUAUGUAAACAAAAAUCAUUAUUAGAUGUAUUUAUCAGAGUUCAUAACUUACUCUGCUUUUUUGUUCAGGUAAUUUCACUGAUCUUGGUUGUCGUCUUCGUCUUCUUCGUUGCGAAAGUAAGUUUGUAAAUUGUUACAUAGCUGGCCGUGAAGUUUGUAUUUGUUUAGCUGACUCGAUUUAUGUGUCGUUGAGUAUUAGUUGAGGUGAUUGGUUUGAUAUAUUUAUUUUGAAGUUUAUUUUUAAGAUUAGACAAAAAAGAGAGGUGAUUAUUAAUGAUUCGUCUUUUUUGGAAUUCUAGUUUUUGGUGUUUUGAUUGUUUGGGUUGUUAUGGUUUCUUUAAGCUGUAAAAUAAAAGUUUGUGUAAAAUUAGUUUGAUAA
rnacentral:lncRNA from 1 species